rnacentral:sRNA from 1 species
CAGUUGUACAGAAUGGACGCUGGUGAACAGGGAGAUCACCUCUGGGCUGGCAGGGAGAUCUGCAGACACCUAGUAAGCCUUCUAGGUUGCUGUUGUCUGAACC